UGGCCCCGGAGGAAGGCCGGUGCGCAGCAAGUCGGAAAGGAACUGGACUCGGAGAGAAGUGAGGGGCCUGGACUCGCCUGGGAACGAAAGUGGAAACGGGAAAGAAAAUGGGAGAAGGGAUGCAAGGCACGAGGGAGCUAACCAAUGAGGGGCGGCAGUUUUAGAGGGAUUGCAGACCAAACAUCAGGCUGACGACAAAGCAAAUAGUUGACAACGCUGGCCAAAUAGUCUCUGCUAAUCAUGCCAGAGCAAUAAAAGUACCAGGUAAUGGGAAUUGCUGCUAAAUACCUUGCAUCUUUUUACUUAGUGUGAGCUUCUGCCUAAAUGAUUGAGGAGGAAACAGCUUCUGUGUUUUGUCGAGUCACCUUUACAUAGAUUUCUAUCCAUUUAAAAAAACCUUACUGUAUCUGCCAUUCUCUGCCAGCAUUGUUAAUCUCUUUCCGUGGCUCCAUUCUUUGUGAUCUUAAAAAGGCCCACAUCUGGCUAAUCUUUAAAGGAAAAAGCUACUGUGCUGGGACUCGUCUUUCAACAAGAUCGUAUAUUAAACAAAUGCCUUCCAUUUCUUUCAGUUUACUUCAAAUCCCACAACUCAUGCUACCAAGAAUCACUCGGAACUUCAUAUUUUGUAACUUUCUUUCCACUACAGUUGACAGCUUUUAUUACACUUUACAGCUUGGGCAUCUCAGAUGUUCUGAGAUUUUGCAUUUUUUCUAGCAAAUAAGCAUUUUAAUACUGUAAUUAUUACUAUGAAGGAUCCUGAGUUGUCCUUUACAGCCUUGAAUUUACAUGGUUAAGAUUUUAAUUUGACGAAAACAGAAAAAAAAACUGUGCUCUUUCGAACCAGUCAGCUGUUAAAGUGUGAUUCAGGAAGUAAUUUUGUUUCCUUGUCAUUAUUUCUGUAUCAGUAAUUAAAGAGUAGUUCUUUGUUUUCA